rnacentral:rRNA from 1 species
GACGAACGCUGGCGGCGUGCUUAACACAUGCAAGUCGAGCGAUGAAGCACCUUCGGGUGUGAAUUAGCGGCGAACGGGUGAGGAACACGUGAGAAAUCUGCCUUCAACACUGGGAUAACUCCGGGAAACCGGGGCUAAUACCGGAUAUGAAACCUGCGGGCAUCCGCGGGUUUGGAAAGUUUUUCGGUUGAAGAUGAUCUCGCGGCCUAUCAGCUUGUUGGUGAGGUAAUGGCUCACCAAGGCGACGACGGGUAGCCGGCCUGAGAGGGCGACCGGCCACACUGGGACUGAGACACGGCCCAGACUCCUACGGGAGGCAGCAGUGGGGAAUAUUGGGCAAUGGAGGAAACUCUGACCCAGCGACGCCGCGUGCGGGAUGAAGGCCUUCGGGUUGUAAACCGCUUUCAGCAGGGAAGAAGCGAAAGUGACGGUACCUGCAGAAGAAGCACCGGCUAACUAUGUGCCAGCAGCCGCGGUAAUACAUAGGGUGCAAGCGUUGUCCGGAAUUAUUGGGCGUAAAGAGCUCGUAGGUGGUUCGUCACGUCGGAUGUGAAACUCUGGGGCUUAACCCCAGACCUGCACUCGAUACGGGCGAGCUUGAGUAUGGUAGGGGAGUCUGGAAUUCCUGGUGUAGCGGUGGAAUGCGCAGAUAUCAGGAGGAACACCAAUGGCGAAGGCAGGACUCUGGGCCAUUACUGACACUGAGGAGCGAAAGCGUGGGGAGCGAACAGGAUUAGAUACCCUGGUAGUCCACGCCGUAAACGGUGGGCACUAGUUGUGGGGACCUUCCACGGUCUCUGCGACGCAGCUAACGCAUUAAGUGCCCCGCCUGGGGAGUACGAUCGCAAGAUUAAAACUCAAAGGAAUUGACGGGGCCCCGCACAAGCAGCGGANCAUGCGGCUUAAUUCGACGC